rnacentral:rRNA from 1 species
GGAUUCCCUUAGUAACUGCGAGUGAAGAGGGAAAAGCUCAAAUUUGUAAUCUGGCGGUCUUUGGCCGUCCGAGUUGUAAUCUAGAGAAGUGUUACCUGCACUGGACCAUGUACAAGUCUCCUGGAAUGGAGCAUCAUAGAGGGUGAGAAUCCCGUCUUUGACAUGGACUGCCAGAGCUUAUAGGUACGCUCUCAAAGAGUCGAGUUGUUUGGGAAUGCAGCUCAAAAUGGGUGGUAAAUGCCAUCUAAAGCUAAAUAUUGGCGAGAGACCGAUAGCGAACAAGUACCGUGAGGGAAAGAUGAAAAGAACUUUGGAAAGAGAGUUAAACAGUACGUGAAAUUGCUGAAAGGGAAACACUUGAAGUCAGUCGCAUCAGUUGGAAAUCAACCUCGCUUUUGCUGGGUGUACUUUCUGUCUGAUGGGUCAGCAUCAAUUUUGAUUGCUGGAUAAAGUUCUUGGGAAUGUGGCAUCCUUGGAUGUGUUAUAGCCCUUGGACAUAUACAGUGGUUGGGAUUGAGGAACUCAGCACGCCGCAAGGCUGGGCUUGUCCACAAUACGUGCUUAGGAUGCUGGCAUAAUGGCUUUAAUCGACCCGUCUUGAAACACGGACCAAGGAGUCUAACAUGCUUGCGAGUGUUUGAGUGGAAAACUCAUGCGCGUAAUGAAAGUGAUAGUUGAGAUCCCUGUCAUGGGGAGCAUCGAUGCCCAGACCAGACCUUUUGUGACGGAUCUGCGGUAGAGCAUGUAUGUUGGGACCCGAAAGAUGGUGAACUAUGCCUGAAUAGGGUGAAGCCAGAGGAAACUCUGGUGGAGGCUCGUAGCGAUUCUGACGUGCAAAUCGAUCGUCAAAUUUGGGUAUAGGGGCGAAAGACUAAUCGAAC